CGGGAUAACAACCUGGAAACAGAUGCUAAUACCGGAUAACAACAGAUGAUGCCUAUCAACUGUUUAAAAGAUGGUUCUGCUAUCACUCUUGGAUGGACCUGCGGUGCAUUAGCUAGUUGGUAGGGUAACGGCCUACCAAGGCGAUGAUGCAUAGCCGAGUUGAGAGACUGAUCGGCCACAUUGGGACUGAGACACGGCCCAAACUCCUACGGGAGGCAGCAGGG
rnacentral:rRNA from 1 species